rnacentral:tRNA from 1 species
UGGGCCGUCGCCAAGUGGUAAGGCACCGGAUUUUGAUUCCGGCAUGCGCAGGUUCGAAUCCUGCCGGCCCAGCCA